AUUGACCUCGGAUCAGGUAGGGAUACCCGCUGAACUUAAGCAUAUCAAUAGCGGGGGGAGAAA
rnacentral:rRNA from 1 species